UCAGAGCUCUGGUUUGUUGGACGUAGGCGAUGAAACAGACAUUUAUUGUCUCCAAGUCGUCUUUAUUCCUCUGCUGCAGAUCAUUUUAAAUGAGAUGAUGGUGGCUUGGAAUUGCCAUUCAAUGCGAACAGCAAAAGGGACUUCCCCCAAUAAGCAAUUUUUCCAAAGUCUCUUUAAAUUACAGCAGCAAGGAAGAGAAUUUACGGAACUCAAACAGGACAUUGAAAUGCCCAUUGGUUUUGUCGUGGAAGACGUUCUAAGGGAAAACCAAGUUCAUGUUCCAGAGAUUGACAUUCCGGGAUUGAGUGAUGCACAGAGGGAAAGGAUUUAUAGGCGUUACAGUGUGCCUAGUGACAGCACAUCAAAUCGUCUUGAAAUAGCAAGGACAAAUUACUUGCGUGCUCGCCGAUUCAUUCGUUUUUGUUUGGCUGCUGAGGGAAAUUGAAGGGUUCAAAAUAGCUGUACAACUCUUGUUCCGAAAUAACAGAUUGUCUAUCCAGGCAAUAAACCCUCAAAUAAUAGGA